AUUGAACGCUGGCGGCAUGCCUUACACAUGCAAGUCGAACGGUAACAGGUCUUCGGAUGCUGACGAGUGGCGAACGGGUGAGUAAUACAUCGGAACGUGCCCGAUCGUGGGGGAUAACGGAGCGAAAGCUUUGCUAAUACCGCAUACGAUCUACGGAUGAAAGCAGGGGACCGCAAGGCCUUGCGCGGACGGAGCGGCCGAUGGCAGAUUAGGUAGUUGGUGGGAUAAAAGCUUACCAAGCCGACGAUCUGUAGCUGGUCUGAGAGGACGACCAGCCACACUGGGACUGAGACACGGCCCAGACUCCUACGGGAGGCAGCAGUGGGGAAUUUUGGACAAUGGGCGAAGGCCUGAUCCAGCCAUGCCGCGUGCAGGAUGAAGGCCUUCGGGUUGUAAACUGCUUUUGUACGGAACGAAAAGACUCUUUCUAAUAAAGAGGGUCCAUGACGGUACCGUAAGAAUAAGCACCGGCUAACUACGUG
rnacentral:rRNA from 1 species